rnacentral:rRNA from 1 species
CCUCCGUGGUGCAGCAGUGGGGAAUAUUGGACAAUGGGCGAAAGCCUGAUCCAGCCAUGCCGCGUGUGUGAAGAAGGCCUUCGGGUUGUAAAGCACUUUCAGUGGGGAAGAAAGCCUUGGGGCUAAUACCCUCGAGGAAGGACAUCACCCACAGAAGAAGCACCGGCUAACUCCGUGCCAGCAGCCGCGGUAAUACGGAGGGUGCGAGCGUUAAUCGGAAUUACUGGGCGUAAAGCGCGCGUAGGCGGUCUGAUAAGCCGGUUGUGAAAGCCCCGGGCUCAACCUGGGAACGGCAUCCGGAACUGUCAGGCUAGAGUGCAGGAGAGGAAGGUAGAAUUCCCGGUGUAGCGGUGAAAUGCGUAGAGAUCGGGAGGAAUACCAGUGGCGAAGGCGGCCUUCUGGACUGACACUGACGCUGAGGUGCGAAAGCGUGGGUAGCAAACAGGAUUAGAUACCCCAGUAGUC